rfam:Spinacia oleracea cultivar SynViroflay scaffold89073.1, whole genome shotgun sequence.
AACCUAUUAGCUCAACGGGUAGAGCACUAUGCACUAUGCAUAGGGGAUGCAGGUUCGAUUCCUACAUAGGUUG